UUGGAAGAUCUCUGAGUACCUGCACCUGUAUCCCAUCAGCUAUCUGCACACCUGGUCCUGAUCAUCACCCCUCCACUUCAUAAGCGCUGACCUGACAUCCAUUCCCUGCCGGAUCGUUAGCCAUGAACAUCAUUCACCCGGAACACUCAUCCCAUCCCUACCUGGUCGUCGGUGACUUCAGUUACUUCAUUGGAUCUGCCUAGUCAACCCCAUCAACUCACCUCCGCUGCCCGCUCCGUCACUUGGAUUUUUCUAUCACUACAUUCAAACUUGUAAAUAAAUACUCACCUUCGUCUUA